rnacentral:rRNA from 11 species
UGCACAGAGAAAGAUGCAAGUGAAGACAGUCAGUGUGGCAGCAGCUUUCUAUGCAUCAGUCGGUAUCAACGUACACAAGGGAAAAACCAAGAUCCUAAAAUUCAGCAUGAAGAACACUAACCCAAUAACAAUUGAUGGAGGAACUCUGGAAGAGUUGUAAACUUUCAUGUACCCGAUCGGUAUCAUCGAUGAACAAGGAGGAUCUGAUGUAAACUUAAGGGGGACGAUUGGCAAAGCAGGGACAGUAUUCUCACAGUCGAACAAAGUAUGCAACUCAAAAUAACUGUCAACAAUAUCAAAGUCACAAUCUUCAAUGCAAACGUCAACACAGUUAUAUUCUACGGAGCGGAAACUUGGAGAACAACGAAAGUCAUCAUCAAGAAAGUACAAGUAUUUAUAAACAUUUGGCUACACAAGAUACUAAAAGUCCGUUGACUGGAUACCAUCAGCAGCAGCCUACUAUCGAAGAGCACAAACCAGCUUCCAUCUGAUGACGAAAUUAUGUAAAGACGUUGGAAGUGGAUAAGACAUGCACUACAGAAAUCAUCAAGCUGUGACUAUCGAGUAAUUGUUUAUCUUUUUAAUAACUGUUUUCCAUAGGAGACGAUGAUGUUCAGCACAUAUGCCUCUACUAUUCAUGUCCUUGUAAUUCUACCCUUAUACGUAUGUGAUUGCGUGUAUAUCAGUACACGUAAUAUUUUAUCUAAUGCCUGUUCCCUUGUUGCAUUAAUUAUUACCUAUUUUGGUUUAUGUCAACGCUUGUCACAUUUACCUUUCACGCUUCGCUUCUCACCUUCCUGUCGAUUGGAGAAAGUGAAUACCUAAAAUAAAUUUAUCUAACUUUAUUCUUUAUUGCUUUUGUGUUACCGCUGUCACACAAACAGAUUUACCUCAAGCCUAAUAUACAAAAUUAAUUGUUAAACUUAUAUUCUACACACAAUUUCAGGAGUGGAAUAGUUUGACUCACACAAACUGUUUAUGCUACUAAAUAUUUUGUUAGUAGGCAGUUGGGAGAACGAAAUUCGCUUGUCAUGAGUUAACUCCACCCGUUUACCUUUGAACGGUUUCACACACCGUUUACUCUCUCUUUAAAGUACUUUUCAACUUUCCCUCACGGUACUUGUUUGCUAUCAGACUCGUGUAAGUAUUUAGCCUUGGAUGGAGUUUACCACCCACUUUGGGCUGCAUUCACAAACAACCCGACUCCAAGGGUAGCACAGAGCAGAGCUAUCACACUUGAUCUCUGCCCCCACGGGUCUUUCACCCUCUUUGGGCCAUAAUGGGAAGCCGUGUAGAGGAUUAAUUCCUCUAUAUCUGACUCCAGAUCAGAAGGCUGCGUGUUAGGAUCACGUCGGGCUCACCAACUUUGUAGAAUAAUGGUGCGUGUUCAAAAUGCGGCUCACCAAUUUUGUAGAGGAUUAUUUCCUCUAUAUCUGACUCCAAUAAAUAAAUAAUAUCCCGCUAACUGAAUAUUUACUGCAGGCUAAAUCUCCUAGUAGAAUUACGGGUUUACUCGAGAUUUAUUCAAAAGCCUGAACAUCAGUUAUAGAGAUAGUUUAUUGUUGAAGCUCGGUAAAAUCCGCAAGCGUACAGAUAGCAAGCACACCGGGAAAACAAGUGAGUGUGUGUGUGAGUGUUCAAAAAUCCAUAUAUAUUUAUUAGUGUUAAUGGAUUGUGGAUAAAUUAUUGAUUGU